AGUGAACGCUGGCGGUAGGCCUAACACAUGCAAGUCGAACGGCAGCACAGGAGAGCUUGCUCUCUGGGUGGCGAGUGGCGGACGGGUGAGGAAUACAUCGGAAUCUACUCUGUCGUGGGGGAUAACGUAGGGAAACUUACGCUAAUACCGCACACGACCUACGGGUGAAAGCAGGGGACCUUCGGGCCUUGCGCGAUUGAAUGAGCCGGUGGCGGGUUAGCUAGUUGGCGGGGUAAAGGCCCACCAAGGUGACGAUCCGUAGCUGGUCUGAGUGGAUGAUCAGCCACACUGUAACUGAGACACGGGCCAACCUACACCAGGAGGCAGCAGUUGGAAAUAUUGGACAAUCGGCGCAAGCCUGAUCCAGCCAUACCGCGUGGGGUAAGAAGGCCUUCGGGUUGUAAAGCCCUUUUGUUGGGAAAGAAAUCCAUCUGGUUAAUACCCGGGUGGGAUGACGGUACCAAAAGAAUAAGCACCGGCUAACUUCGUGCCAGCCGCCGCAGUAA
rnacentral:rRNA from 1 species